rnacentral:rRNA from 1 species
AUUGAACGCUGGCGGCAUGCUUUACACAUGCAAGUCGAACGGUAACAGGCCGCAAGGUGCUGACGAGUGGCGCACGGGUGAGUAAUGCAUCGGAACGUGCCCAGUCGUGGGGGAUAACUACUCGAAAGAGUAGCUAAUACCGCAUACGAUCUAUGGAUGAAAGCGGGGGACCGUAAGGCCUCGCGCGAUUGGAGCGGCCGAUGUCAGAUUAGGUAGUUGGUGGGGUAAAGGCUCACCAAGCCAACGAUCUGUAGCUGGUCUGAGAGGACGACCAGCCACACUGGGACUGAGACACGGCCCAGACUCCUACGGGAGGCAGCAGUGGGGAAUUUUGGACAAUGGUCGCAAGCCUGAUCCAGCAAUGCCGCGUGCAGGAAGAAGGCCUUCGGGUUGUAAACUGCUUUUGUACGGAACGAAACGGCUCUGGUUAAUACCCGGGGCUAAUGACGGUACCGUAAGAAUAAGCACCGGCUAACUACGUG